CCUACGGGUGGCUGCAGUGGGGAAUAUUGCACAAUGGGCGCAAGCCUGAUGCAGCCAUGCCGCGUGUGUGAAGAAGGCCUUCGGGUUGUAAAGCACUUUCAGCGGGGAGGAAGGCGUUAAGGUUAAUAACCUUGGCGAUUGACGUUACCCGCAGAAGAAGCACCGGCUAACUCCGUGCCAGCAGCCGCGGUAAUACGGAGGGUGCAAGCGUUAAUCGGAAUUACUGGGCGUAAAGCGCACGCAGGCGGUCUGUCAAGUCGGAUGUGAAAUCCCCGGGCUCAACCUGGGAACUGCAUUCGAAACUGGCAGGCUAGAGUCUUGUAGAGGGGGGUAGAAUUCCAGGUGUAGCGGUGAAAUGCGUAGAGAUCUGGAGGAAUACCGGUGGCGAAGGCGGCCCCCGGGACAAAGACUGACGCUCAGGUGCGAAAGCGUGGGGAGUAAACAGGAUUAGAUACCCCAGUAGUC
rnacentral:rRNA from 1 species